ensembl:processed_transcript
GAAAUGCAGUUUAAUUUAUCAAGAAACAAAACUAACACUUCCUGCAAAGGGAUGGGCACUUACUGAGAAAGAGAAACUUCUGGAAAUGAGGGCAAGUCUGUUCACAGAUCAGUUAAGCGUGGGUACUGUGAACUAGUAUAAAUAAUCAAGGCAAACAUUGAUCAGUCCUUUUCAAGACUGAAGCCUUCUGCUGCCAGAUCAACAAGGUUUAUGGUAUUUCCUCUGUGGGAUAUGCUGUGGAACUUGAAUGGUCUCGUAGCCUUUAUAUCAUCAUGAAGGAGGUGGAGGUCGUGUAAAUCCUUGCUGCCAAGGGCAAGGUCAUCUGGCCCAGCGCCGUUCAGAGAGGAAACUCAGCAUUUGCUAGAGUGCCUCUUUGUUUUGUGUUGUCCAGAUGUGCAGAGGCAGGAUGUCAGGAUAACAUCCUACAUCGACCCUCAAGUCUAUAAAAGACCCUCCAAAGCUAUAAAAGCAAAGUCACAAGCUAUAGAAGCAAAGUCCAAUGCUAUGAAGCAGUUAAUGUCAAUGCACGUAAUGCAAAAAGUGAAAACUUUUGUUUCUGCAUUGCUUGGUUUCAGUUGGUCUGGGGCCCAGCUGAGGCAACUCAGCCCCAUAAAUGUUUAAAGAAAAAGAAAUAAAGAUCAUGAACUGAAACAGAA